rnacentral:RNase_P_RNA from 1 species
CAAGUAAACCAGACAGUCGCUGCUCGUUUUACGAGGAGAGGAAAGUCCGAGCUCCAUAGGGCAGGGUGCUGGGUAACUCCCAGUGGAGGUGACUCCAAGGAAAGUGCAACAGAGAUAUACCGCCGUUUAACGGUAAGGGUGGAAAGGCGAGGUAAGAGCUCACCAGCGCAUUGGCGACUUUGCGGCUAUGUAAACCCCAUCUGGAGCAAGACCGAAUAGGGAAGUAUAUGGGGCUGCCCGUCCCGCUUCCGGGUGCGUCGCUGGAGCUUGACUGGUAACAGCAGGCCUAGAUAGAUGACUGUCAAAUACAGAACUCGGCUUACAGAUUUACUUGUCCA